GGGGCAGUAGCGUAGUUGGGAGCGCGUCAGACUGAAGUCAAACUUCAAUCUCAAAUCUGAAGGUCACCGGUUCGAUCCCGGUCUACCCCA